rnacentral:rRNA from 1 species
GAUGAACGCUGGCGGCGUGCCUAAUACAUGCAAGUCGAGCGAACAGAUAAGGAGCUUGCUCCUUUGACGUUAGCGGCGGACGGGUGAGUAACACGUGGGUAACCUACCUAUAAGACCGGAAUAACUCCGGGAAACCGGGGCUAAUGCCGGAUAACAUUUAGAACCGCAUGGUUCUAAAGUGAAAGAUGGUUUUGCUAUCACUUAUAGAUGGACCCGCGCCGUAUUAGCUAGUUGGUAAGGUAACGGCUUACCAAGGCAACGAUACGUAGCCGACCUGAGAGGGUGCUCGGCCACAAUGGAACUGAGACACGGUCCAGACUCCUACGGGAGGCAGCAGUAGGGAAUCUUCCGCAAUGGGCGAAAGCCUGACGGAGCAACGCCGCGUGAGUGAUGAAGGUCUUCGGAUCGUAAAACUCUGUUAUUAGGGAAGAACAAAUGUGUAAGUAACUGUGCACGUCUUGACGGUACCUAAUCAGAAAGCCACGGCUAACUACGUG